CAGAGGCUCCUUCCUGCCCCGCCCACCACCCUGCUUCAACAUAUCAGUUGUCAUUAGGAACUUCUUUCUCUUAACGAGAAGCUUCAGGCUUUUGUGUUUGUGGUCCUGUGUUAAAAGCUUGCUAAACGCGCGUUAAAAGCGAUUUUUUCACCCCUAUCGAGUAAGUUUAUCGCUUCUUUCGGAAUGCGCUGAAAGGCUCAACGCGCUCGUAUCUAGGUCGGGGGUAAUUCAACUGUAUAAGCAAGGCUCGGGAUAUGGGGAUAUGGAUUUCACCUUAUGGGGAAUAGGCUGAAAGAGCAACAGGCAACCAAGACUUAUGAAGUGCGUUCAGGCUCACUUUACACUAAAAAAAUGGGAACCCUAGUUCGAAAUAUGAAACGACGUUUGCAACAGGAGAGUCGGCGAAGGGAUCAACAGUCUUCCUUCAGUAAAGGCCCAUCCAGGUGUCUUCGCCCACCUUUACAUAUGCGAUUGUUCGCUCGACCUGGCUGCCCAGUUACGAAAUAUAUAGCUAUAAAAAAAGCUAGAAAUAGAACUCAACUUAGUUGCUCAGUCUCUAGGAAUUCCCAAGCGUUAGCGAAGAAAGAAGCCUACUUGAAGAAGGCUGCCAAGAGGAGCAAGCCCACAUCGAGCAAGUUGACUUACUUUAUGUUAUGUAAAGAGUUCGCUAUUACGGCCCAGUUCUUCCACGAGCGAAGGCCCGUCAAAUUGGUCUCAAAGAUUUUCAAGGAAACCCAACCCCUUCCUCUCUUCCCCUCCUUCUAUCCAAAGAAACUUUCCCAGCUGUAGUAGCUGUUCUCUUCCCUUCCAUCGAUUGAGCUUUCUCUCGCUUAAUUCAAUAGGGCCUUAGUAGACCGGUUUUAAUUCGACAACUCGAUCGCUUCUUCCUUUGCUGGAAUUGCCAUCUUUGCUGCUCUCGGCUUCUGAAUUCGUACCUUUCAAUAGCCAGUCUAGAAGCCCUAAUGUUGUAAGGCACGUGACUGCAUUCCUAAAUUCUAUCUCUGCUUCCUUCACUGCUUCCCGAAACUGACCUGCUUACACUGCACUGCUUCUUCCAACAAUACUGGAAGUGGGGCUGCCCUAUAUGGUCAAGCCAAGCAAAAAGGGAGUUUCCUCUUUGUAUCCUCUAGUCUCAAGAGUUUCUUUCAUCUUCGAUAGUCUGGAGAUAGUGCAUUAGCCUCCGUUGACCAAUUUGAAGCUUAUGAAAUCUCUUUCACAAAGAAGAGUCUUCAAUACUCAUUUUCUUUUUCAAGUGACCGUAUGGGUGGUCUAUCAAGACGAUAACAUAUCCCCCAAAUAGUGGCUUAGAAUUGAAAUGCGAAUAUAGCAAAAAACCAUUAAUGAAAAUCACUUUUCACUCUAGAAGUCCUCAAUGGAAGCUAUUCAAAUUUCGCAGAAUAUUGCUUAGUGCUCGACCUACUUAAUGGGAUACCGGUUGAGAAUUAGGCCAAUUUCCUAUUCGGGAAAGCAGACUCAUUCGUUGUCUUAACAAGUUUGAGGCCAUUAUCUCUACUUGAGCAAUCAUUAAUUUAUUUUGAUAAAAAAAGUGAUACCCAGACCGGACGACUUCUAGCCCAGGUCCUACUACCAGUCCGGAGACAAUUGAAUUACCUUCUUAUCAUAUCGAGCCUUUGUCACGAUUUCAAGUAAUGAGUUCGGGCUUCUGUCUGUUAAGGUCUCUCUGAACAGAGCUCCACAACUAUCAAAGGAAUCUCCCCUGACAGAAAGGAGUCCCACAGUUGAUUGAGAGUUUCGAGAAUCUUCGAUAGGAGAAAGAAAAGCAUUAGCCAGUACCAGUACCUGAAUAAGCAGCAGUUGUUUCGACAGCUUGGAUUGGAAUCUCGAAUUCUCAACGGUAAUCCCCCUCUAUUUUCAUCUCGACAUGAAAAGUCAGAGGGACUGAAAGACUCAUAAGGUUAUAGUGCGGGAUCAGUUCCAUUUUCAUAGUUAAAUAAUCUAAUCUACUUCAAAUAAAGACAAAAGGGAAUCCACGGUGACAGAGAAAGAUGAAGCAAAGAAAGCGCAUAGCGUGGCACCCCGUAACAAUGGAAUUGAGCUUGGCCCUGUCUCGGCCUUAAUAAGCAGUUGAAUCCUCUGCAUGAGGAAGUCACCUCGACAUCUUAGAAUGUCGGUAUCGAGGAAAGACAGAAAUAUGGGUUAAUCAACAGUUCCCAACAGAGAUAGAUUUUGUGAAUCUACAGACAGAUAUGGUUUUUGAACUGAGCCUGUUCCCACUCGUAUACCAGCCAAAGUUAGGUAAAGAGGGUUUCUUUGGCUUCUGAACUUAAAAGUCUCUUCUUUCUCUUAGGGGAAGCCCAAAGCUAGCUAUCUCUUCCUUGCUCGACUUCCCGACUUGCCUUCAUGAAUCAAAGUUUAGCCCGAUGAAUGACAGGUUUGCCUUGUGUUGGGACGGUAGGCAAGGUUCGGUACUCAGUUCCAGGCGGUUUGUUUUCCAGUAAGGUACUCAAUCAAGCCGUUCAAGCAAGCGGAUCGUAGAAAAACCACUUCUCUUGUGUGUCCUCCUUCUCAUGGGAGUAGGCACCAGUCUCAGGGAAAGCGGCAGGGGCUUCGGCUGUUGGAAACCCGGACACUGCUCCUGCGCAAUCAGAGAAAGAAGAAAGGUAAUCCAUCUCGACAUUCUGAGGGCUAACUCCUAAAGCAAUCACGGUAAGUUCACUUCGGGAAUCAAUACAAUAAGAUCUUUUCACUCUUUUUCUCUAUCAGUCUACCCCCGUAGUCUUCCGAAGGUGUAUUAAGGGUAGAGCUUUACCCGGACCGCAAUUUCUGACGUGAGAAAGGAAUAGCGUAAGGUCCGACCUUUUUCAUCUAAGGGGUAAAUAAGCUGUUAGGACCGAGGGCAGCGGUUACAUCCCGGUAGUCAGCAACAGCGGUUCAGUGUCAAAUGAAAGCUAAGCGGGAAGGCUACUUCACUUCAGACAAUCAGGCAGAAGCAGCGGUGUCGGGUUCCUUCCUUUCGCCAAUAGACUAGACCAGCUACUACUACUACUACGAAAAGUAAGAGCUCAAACUCCUAAGCACCACUACUCCUAUAAAAAAAAGUUGCUUGCUUAUUCUAUUCUUCUGGAUGUGCUCCACAUUUCAUUCGCUUUCCUUUCACAUCGGUCUUACAAGGCCCUUUCUUUCUUCGGUGAGUUGCAAGAGGGGUUUUUUUUAUGGGGAUAGGUAAGGAAAGAUGACUUUGGGAGGAAUUCGGGAUCGGUCAUCGAGGGGGUAGUGGAUGGAGAUGACGACUAGUAGGAGAUGACAACUAAUGGAGCUAGCUUUCUUCUUUCUGCUGACUAAUCAUGGACUCAGAGCUAAACAACUAUGACUCGUAUGAUUUGCUAACACAACGGAUGGUUUCGAAAUAUUUCUCGCCGGGUUCUGGCGCUGUCCCCCGAGUUCGCCCGCUGAAUCUGCUGCUCGCUGAACAAGAUGCCUUCUCAGCAAUCAGUUCCAGUCCCUUGUCUUUCAUCAUUAUGCAUUCAACGCUUUCGAAUGAGUCGGUUCAAGCAACUCAUAAACCCAAUAUCAAAAGUUUCACCCAGGUAUACAUAUCCUUACCUCAUCUCUGGUUCAGGACCAACCAUGCACUCACAGCCACUACUCUCUUCUUAAGCUUGCAGUAGUGCCGUUGCUCUAGUAGUCCAACCAUGCAGUAGCAUACCAAUGCAGAUAUCGGAGAUGAUACUCCAUCCAUCUUUCAAAAAUCUUUCAAACAUGCAAUCUGCAUCGUCACCAUAGAAAGUACGAAUCCGAUCAAUUUCAACUUCAUUGAAGUUUGAUGGACGUACACGCUCCAUGAUAAACGCCCUUACCAUUCCAUACUGCUCUGCAGUCAACACUCCCAAAUCUGGAAAUGCUAACCAAAACUUCAAUGGUAAAGGAAGUCUGCCAGUCGGCGAAAACAUUAAGAGAUAAUGGCGCUUCCAACGUUUAGAUGUCGGAAGACCUUGACGUGAGUAGACCUUAUAAGAUCCACCGCGUAACCUGUACGAACACAGCAAAUUGACUCGCAGCUCCGAAAACAGGAAAGUGGAAACUCCAGAAGAGAGAGUACGGAGAACCCGAAGGGACACAGGACUAAAGUCAAGUGUAACCUUAUAGACCAUAAAUCUCUUAGCAAAUUCUAGAGCACUCACGUUAGGGACGGACUUUUCUUUUGAUAUGGUCACCUCACACUCCUCCAUAACCUCAAGAUAUGACUUCACGACUACUGGAUCCGCGAUGACAUUGUCAUCGCCCAGUAGAGCAUAAUCAAAGAACUUCACCCCAGGGCGUACCCUCCAUGCUGCAUACCACACCAGCAUAUGAUGCGUGAGUGUGCCAUGAACUGUAAAACCCUAGAGUAGAGGUUGCCCCUUUGUAAACCGGAAGACAUAUAAUUGGGCGAAGGCCCCUUUUCUGGUAACCGGAAGCCAAAAGCACAUAGAAUAAGAUAAAUCCAUGACUCGGCUAAUCGACGGCCAAACAAACUAAACAAGACACCUCCACUUAAAUCUACCGGCAAAGAGUCGGUAGCAGCUUUGAGAUCGAAGGAAAACAAAUGACUUUGACCGAGCAAGGGGCGCGGUUUGGUUAUAUGUCCCGUCAGUCGGAAGACAAUGAAGCACAUCCAUCACCCGAUCAUGUAAAGGCCGGAAAAGCAAAAAAAAUAAUGAAUAAGACAAAGAAAGGACUUGGACACACCUAUCUCAAAUUAGUGAAGAUACCGGUGGUUAUGGGUAUGGAUCCACGCGAGAUGAUAGCUUUCUCGGGUUUUUGAACAGUUGCUGGCUUUAUUGAUUUACCUCUUGGUAAGGGGAAACUAGCGAAGGUUUUAUUACCUUUUCUUCCGUACACCUUUGCCGACACCGGUACCUCCUAUCAUUGGCACUCUAACUAGGCGAAAUGGUGAGGAAGCCGCUUCUGGGACCGUACGAACUAGAAGGAAUGAUGCUUGCAUAGGUGGGGGGCUGCCUCUACUUCUACAUGUGGUGCUACCUUCGCUGCUUUCAUUAGUCUUGGUUCUUCCAAAGUCGCAAUUAGGAUUGGACUUAGCGUUUAUCCCACAUCGGGAAUUCUCUCUGUUAUGUUGUUGUUUUUAGAGAGUGCGGGGGCCUUUGUCUCUAACUGAACUGUGAUGCCGUAGCUUCUUAUGCUGCAGCCCAUACCAUCCUAGCUUCCCAUACUUUUUCUACCGCUAAUAUGACUAGUGCCCAUACAGCCUAUGUCUUUGCUUCUUAUGCCUUUGUUGCCUUUAUCCCACUCGAAACUAACUGAGAUUCUGCUGACUCAGAUGCUGGUGGUCUAACUUGAAUGGAAUCUGAUCGAUCUCAAUAUGGAACAACUAUAAAGUAUAUGCAUAAACUCUUCUGCCUCUGCCGGCUCUGGAACAGGCUCUUGCUCUAGCUCCGUUCCUCUCCAACCUUUUCUAUCUAUCCUUAGAAGUAGGGCGAGUAAUAAGCUCGAUCUGGAUCCGAAAUGGACUAUGGAUCUCGAUCUAUUGGUCUAUGCGGGAUUCGCCCUCUUCUCCAGUCUCAGUUCUGGUUCGAACAGAUCCCUUUCCGCCUUUGAAUUAGCUACUACUACUACUGAUGAAUGCACCUUCGCUGCACUCGGCCGCUUUCAGGGGGAGUGGGGAUGGCAGGGAAGGGCAUAUCUUUGCCGUGAUCCCCACGUUCAACUGUUAAUCCGUACCUAUCCACCCGAUGUGAUAGAGCGAUACUCUGUUCGAUUCCCCUUUGAUCCGAUGCCUACUACCUAAUAGAAAGGCAGCCAGCAGUCCAUGGCUAGCUGAUAUAUCACGGUUUCACCAUCAGAGGGAGGAGAUGGAAAGAAAGGAGUCGAUCACCUAGCCGAUCCCGAAUAGCCCGAUCUUUAUUUCAUUUCAACCGAUCCGCCGGGUCAUAACCUAAAAUUAUAUAUAUUUAUUUUUAUUAUUAUUAUUAUUAUUAUUAAUAUUAAUCUAAUAAUAAUAAUAAAUAUUAUAAUAAUAUAUAAUAAUUAGAUUAAUUAAUAAUUACUUUGCUUUGAUUCUGAAUAUCUGCUUCGACUACUGGAACAUUUCUUAGAAACCAUAUUGACGGAUACUAAAAACAAACCUUUUUUUCUCUAUUCCUUACUUGUGGUAUCUUCAUUCAUUCAGUCAUUCCUUCGUUUUAUAGCCUGUUGUGCUUGUUUUCUUUUGCUUGUUCUGUUGGAACAUUGAGUAAAUCAACCUUAUUAUGUAAUAAUUUUUCAUUCAACAAGGUAUGGGUAUCUUCUCACUUAGCUUGACUAGACAGUUAGUUAGUUCAAAAGGAAAAAGAGUAAAUUGACUUCUAUUGAGACCUCUUCUUGGAUGAAGAAUCAAGUGACUUGUUAAAAGCAUACUUCUAACUCGAACUAUUUCAUUACGGAGUACCUCAAGCCCCGCCUCGCCGUUAGCUUCAUAUCCUUUUUUACGGAACUCUAGCUUGUGCCGUAGACGACCUUCCCACUAGUGUGAGAGGAAACUCUCGAUUGGGACCCGUCCAUUGCUUGGCUCUUCCUACCCACAGGCGGGUUCCCCGGCAGAACGAUGAGGGCUUUGCUUGCCUUUCUUUUCUAGGAUGAGUGGUUGAUUCUCGAAUCCUUCUCUUUGCUUUACAACAUAGUUGAAUGCCCCCAACGGAAGGUACUUGUUUCUCUCUCGGGCCUGGCCGAUCAACGUAUGGCCGGUGUAAGAACCCAAAGCGCCUAUUCCCGGACGCAACCAACCUCUGACUAUUCCACUCUGAUUCCUUCGCUCUGCCCAUGAAAGUCUUCUUUCUUCGAGUGAGAGAGGAGAAGAUUCGCACUGGCUUUAUGGCUCAUACGACCUCGAAAGUUCAAUAAUUUAAGGGGUUCCGACGAAGGAAGAGCUUGACUGCUACUAAAAAAGGUACGCCCUAAUCGCUCCCCUUUAUUAUUAUUAGUAAGAUAGGGUGGUUGAGAAGCAGGUCGUUCGUGUGCUUAUUGUAAAAAAAUACCUACGACUAUCAAAGGAACUAAUCUCACAAGCAACCGUCACUCAUAAAGGGGCAACAAGACCUCUAACGGCCACUCUCUUUCUCUUCCUUCGGUAGGCUCUGCCUCAUAGCCGGACUCAGAAAUGCAACUCUUUGAUCAAACCUAGCAAAUAAUGGCAUAAACAAUGGAUUCUCACUCGGGGCUCAACUUUCCAUAAUCCACUGUUAAGGACUCUCUUUUUUCUCAUCCACCUUCUUUCCCUUGGUACGGUACCUUCACGGCACAUUUGUUCUCAAACCCUUCUUUUCAGACGUCGAAAUGGGCUUUUGCCUCGUAGCCAUACCUAGACGAAUCUGACUCCUCUUCGAAAAGAGAGAGCAGUUGUUCCCCGAAAGACUUGGAAAGGUUUUUUUUGCUACAAACGAGAUUGAAGAAGUCCAUCGACUUAAAAACCCUUGGUACUUUAAACCAAAGUCUUGCCUUGACUUACGAGCAAGCCGAACUCCCCCUUCGCAACACCUACCUUUUUUUCUUCCUGAGGUGGGUGUCCCGCUUGAAGCAAGAGGAUUAGACAUCUUAUUCAUUGAGUCGACGAGAUCGAAGUAGUAGGUUUCCAGCCCAGCAGUUUACGGAGAAGAGGGGAAAGUUUGAGGAGAGGAAUAAGAAGAAGAGAGGGGACCUCAUCAUGGCACGCUGGAGCAGGAAUUGAAUCUGCACUUGGCUCUCAUAAAGCCAAAGCAAAACAACCUUUCAUUGCCACUGAAUCCCCCUUUUUGAUCAGCCGAACUUUCCUUCUGCUUGACUUAGAGUAGAUUUCAUUCGACAUAUGCGACCAACUGCCCCCUCUCUUGCUUUUGAUCCAGCUAAUGGUAAUGAGUGCGCCUGAAGCCCCUGGAGUUCUUCCUCUUUUCCUUCCCCGAUCCGAUUCAACCCUCCGAUCUCUCUUUCCGUAGAGGAGAAGAGCUUCCCCUUGUUUUUCGGCGUCAACCUUUGUUCUUUCCUAACCAGACCUCGACGAAUCCAAAGUGAAAGGUCCAACUGGUCAAAUUCCUUAUUCAUUGGUCUAGGGUAUGGAAGCAGUCCUUCCUAUCGAAAUUUAGAUCCCAUCCCUUAGGAUACAGAUUGACAAGGACUUAACCGAUAGUGAAAAGCUUCCAGCUUUGUUGGCACAAAAAAACUCUUGGAUGAGAAAGGCCUACGUGCCGCUGAGCAUGCCCAAAUUUACCAAAAACGUAUCAGUUGAGCCUAUGAUAAGAAGGUCUUAGAAAGGAAGUUCAAGAUAGGUGACUUAGUCCUUAAGAAAAUCAUGCCUUCUAGAGAUCCACACCCUAGGGGAAAACGUCAAGCCGAAUCGGGAAGGGCCCGAUUUCAUAUCCGCCGUCCAUCCUGGAAAUGCAUAUAAACUUUAGAAUGCGGAUGGUGAUGAACUACCCGAUCCCUGGAAGGCCAUCUACCUCAAGAGGUACUACGCGUAGGCCAACCUUUGUUUGGAUUCACAUUUUGGCCUUACCUCGAGAGAACUUUGUUAUGUUUCCGAGUCUAAAGAGUAGGGCAUAUGUUUGUUGUCUAAGUUCUAAAAGAUAGCAAGCUAGUGCAUUCAUUCAUUAGUACUUCACCAGCGGAUAGGGUGACUUUCUCGUUCUCGACCUUUCCCCAGUCCCCUAUUCGCCGAACCAUUCCUUCCAUCGUGAACCUUUAUCCCUGAGUCAACCGAAAAAAUAUCCGCCUCCCCUCUUAUUCAUUGAGAAAGGCAGGGGUGGGGAUAUCUACUAAAUAUGCUCGCUCCUAUUAGGAGUAUAUUUACUAAUGAGACUCCUCUUUUAGUUUCAUUCUCUGAAUAUGCACCUCUCCCUUUCAUUCCUUAACUCAUUCAUCCAUGAAUUUCUUUCCCGCUACCCCCCUUUUUGGUAGGAGAUAGUUUCCUCUCCCGCUUAAAUUCCUUGCAUCGGAUAGAAGCAGCCCAUGGAAUGAAUUUCGAUACCAUCUCCUUAUCGGUUGGCGGAAAGUCAUCUCUUGGGCAGUCGAAAGGGGGGCAACGAAUCGUCGAAUGAAUUCCUUGUGUCGGGUGGAGAGAAGAGGGUGGUAGAUAGAAUGAACAGUCGACUGCUAUGGGAGAGGGAAUCAACUAGGAACUGGCAUCUCCUGGUCCCUUCCAACCAUUAAAGGUACGUGCUUAUUACUAGGAGUGUCAGAUGCAACCUGUGUGCUCAGUCCCAAACUGUAUUGAUGACCAAGCGCGCAGUCUUUAUAGCGCGCUUUUCAAGCGCUUACCAAGCAAGCAAGCCGGCAUACUCAGAGAGCUCUUCGCCUUUGGUCCGAUGUGGGGGCCCUUUCUUAUUGAAUGAAGUAGGCGGUAACGGUAAUAAGCGACCGAUCAUUAGUAAGAGACGAAGACAGGGCCAGACGAGAUAUUGAAAGGCUUGAAUGGACAGGUAAGGGACAGACUGAUUGCACCUACCAGGCACAGGACUUAUUGGCUUCAGAAGCAAGCCAAAGAAAGAAGGGAUUCGCUUACAGAAGUACUUUCCAUAUUUUGAAAGGGAAUAUAUAUAUUUGAAGGAAGGUACUCGUGUACGGGAAUCGAAGUGAUUAGAACAGAACUGAGCUUGCCAGCCAGGAAUGAAGAAGCAACGGACGCUAUUUGUGGACAGAGCAAGGGACAGAUAGAGGAAUGGUUUACCUCCUCUAUCCUUUCCAUUAAUUGAUUGCAUACCGUCUCGCUUCUGUUUACCGUACGAUUAGCUGUACUUCUUUCCGAAUGGUUGAUAUAACCAUUCCCUACUGACUCUAUUAGGGGCAUACUCGAUAGUCGUCUUUCCUUUCCUGUACUAUUCAAAUUGCCCUAUUUUUUCUAGUAAGGGGAAGGGCAGACCGCUUAUCAUAAAACAGAAGAUCGAUAUCGCACAGAAGGCCUGAUAUCGCCCUAUUUGAGAUACUGAUUCAAGUUAUAGUACUUCUUCUUCCUAAGAGCGAUUGAACUAGCCUUUUGACUAAAUAGAUAUGAGCAUAGAGAGGGAAUCCUGAACUACAGGAAAAAAGGAGAGCAGCCAGCCUUUAUAUUAUUAUAUAUUAGCGGGUAGGUUUUUCUUUUUCCUGAAGCUUAGAUGAGAUUAGAGAUGAAAAAGACGCUAGCAUUAGCAGAAGAUCAUCGAUCAUACUUUCUUGCCUUAGCCACUAUUGAGUAAGAAAGAUUUCUACUUGCCUUAGAUCACUAUCGAGGAAGAUAAACUCAUAGCACAGAUGAUCCUUACCCGGGAAGGCAGAAAGAGUACCUGUUGUUAACAAAACGGAGUCUCAAAAACUCAAUUAUCGUAUUUUCAAGCAGAGCACCAGUAAAAGACCUAGAGGCCUAUGAAAGUCACGUUUUUACUUAAGAAAGAUGGCGCCUUUGCGAGGAUGUCUUUAAUCAGCCAAUGCCAAGGCAACAAAGCUAGCAUCAAACCUACCCGCCCAGAACCCUCCUUAAUUCCUACCAAGGUUCCCAUCCCCGAUGACAGAAGAAAGAUAAGCUAAAAUGGGAGCUGGAGAGGCAGGAAGAAAGAUUCUCACUUGGACAGGAGAUGCGGACGAGUUUUGGCCGAGCUCCAAGAAGCCUGGGAGAGAAGGAGGCAGGGCCAAGCUGAGCUAAACCUAAACGUAUGCAUGGUUAAAAAGAAGUGUACCCAAGUUCCUGUGUUGCUCGAUAAUUUGUUGAUCCUUUUUAUCUUUAUCCUGGUGGCGCUCUCUUACUUACUAUUUUUUUGGUGCUUUAGCCAGCCUUACUCAUCUAUGAGACAGAUGAGAGAGUGGGAAAAUGCGGUGUCAUGACUUUUUCCUUGAAAGGCAUCGUCUGUUGACGAAUCCAUUUUAAGCCUAAGAUUCCCCUGAGAAUGGAUCUCUCAUUUGGGCAAAAAGGCUGUGAAAAAGGAUUCCAAAUCAGGCUUUCCUCACUUGAGUAGAAAGCUUUUCAGAAAGGAGGAUAUCCUGAGCCAAGCACAAGCAGUAGUCUCAAAGAGUAAUGCAGUUGGAUCAAGAAGGCCGAAAGCCCGGCAGUAAAGCUCACGUUGUCGACACCUCUUGUCCGUCAGUGAGUGAUUUCUCGUAUGUGUAAAGACGGGUAGACCGUCUCAUCUCUUUCCUCAAAGUGGUGGAUCGAACUUCGAUCAUGUCACGAGAGUGGAUUCAGUUGGUUUCAUCGGUCAUUCUGCGAACCUGAACCUGACAGCUAUCACUUACUGGUCAAUGAAAGUGGGGUAAGUUUGACUCUGAUUCGGAGCUUGAAAGUCAAAGAGUCUCAUGCACUUGCUUAUGGAACUCUUGCUUCAAAGAAUAAUCUUCCUAGGUUGCCCUAUCUCUUCCUCUUCGGUUGUACUUUCCCUUUUCUUCCUGUUCAACUUGCCCAACUCUCACGAACUGGCAGUGGUUUUUCAGCAUCAAUGAGUCGACUGCUUUUUAUAUGACCUUUGCUUUUAGCUGCUGAUGUCUGACGACAAUGACUGCCUCACCUGAUGAUACAUAGCACUGAAUUGGAUUAGCGGACACAGAGUCAUGUAAAGCGAGUGGAAGGGUCAGACCAUCAAGUGGAUCGGAAUCAUGUAUAUAGGAAUCAGGGGCUAACGCAUGCCUAAACCGACCUGUCUUUCCUCUCCCUUAUCGAUCGAGCCUCACUUCCGCUCUCCUUCCCUAACGGAUAGUACGACCUCCUAACGGUCCCCUUCCCUUUGGUCGAGCACGAGCCUAAUCUAUCCCCUCUUUGCGUCAAACUUCUAUGUGGGCUGCGCCCUCCUCUGAUUCUACCUAUCCACCUGGAUUUUGGGGUCUCAAUGCCAUUCCUUGAUACGAAAUCUCCUUCUUGGCGACUCACUCAUUGAGGAAAGAAGCCCUACUCGCCGGCCUCAAUGGACCAAUGGGGCCACUCCUCGAUCCUUCUGACCCUGACUAAUCAAUCGGCUUGGAAGUUGGAAGGGAGAUGCCAUGACAAACUCAUCCAAUCAAGCUCGUCUGGGAAUCUUUCUCUGACUUGUCCUUCGGGGAAGGGAGCUAGAUUCGUAGAAAUCGAGAAGAAUGGCAGCUUUGACUAACAGGAUAGGGUGCCAAGGAGAGGGUUUCAUUGAAGAAGUCAUAGUGCGGAGAGGAGCUCACCUUCAUCUAAAGAGGGAGCCUUGAAGCCAAAGCCAUCUUGGAUCAAUUGGGAACUUCAUCGGGCACGCACCUUUCAUCGUGAAUGAUUAUGCUCAGGGAGCCCCAACUAUAGCCAUUUCCUUCCAUAAACAACCACGGAAAAAGCAAGAGAAGUAGCCCCAGUCAGACAGCAAAGUCGCAAAGGUAAAAGGGAGAGCAUCAGGUCAAUCAGUCGAUGAUCCGGUGGAUCAAUUCAUUAGUCUUGCAGUUGGUCAAGCCAAAGACUGAGUCGACUAAGCAACUGUGUAAGGAGUGGAUGAUCAAUAAUUCACAGCAAAAGUGGAUACAAGAACCGAGUUCAGUAGUCGAUGUUGAAGUCGUGCAAGUACUGAUCUCUGAACCAGAAGCAGCAUACUUAUCGACUGCUGUGACCAACACGCACCAGCAACAGCGCUCGAAAGUCAGAGUGAACCAAGAGAAGCUGAACAGACGGAGUGCAAGUGCAUCCAUGGAUCAGAAAAGGAGUGAGUGGCUUCCAAGGUGUAGGUGGGGGAACGAGUGAUGGACCAAGCAAAGGAAAGGGGGAAGAAUCACUGGAAAGACGCUGCUUUGGUUGACCAGCGAACAAGCACGAGCCAGGCAAUAAGAAAGCAAUAGCCGAGGUUGGGUCGUCAGGAAGGAUAGCCAACAUAGAAGAGCUUUUGCCCAUUCCAUUAGUCGAAGCGAAGUCCUGUCCUUGGAAAAUGAUUUGAUUCACGUUUCCUAUCUCCCCUUGAUAGAAAAGGGAUCCUCGCCUGCCAAAGGUUCUUCUUCCCUCUCUGCAAAUGGUGAUUCCACAGCAUCUGAGUUCAUCAAGCGAAGAACAGAGAUCCUUUCUCGAUGAAGGUCUUCUUAUCUUAUUCCUCUGGGAAAGACGUGGUUCAUGAGCCAUUGACUCGAUCAUCAAGUCGAAAUAAGGCGCUUUCUUGAGUUCUUUUACCCAUCUAUUGUACCGUGGGGAGCAGCAUCCGAGCUAUGGGAUCGCUAGCUUAUGAAAGAUCAUAGAUCGGGGACAUCUGACUGAGAUAGAUCGUCAUCUCCGGGCGAACCUCUCUUUGUCGAUCAGGUAACUAUGAGAAUGGUUCGAUAUGUGAAUUCAAAGAAAAUAGGGGACAUAAGGGUUCUUAUGCAGUUGUUCGAAUCCUACGCCUAUCGCCUACCUUAUCUGCCGAUUUAUCGUAGAUAACAGAUGUGAGCGUUGCCUCACAAACCUAUCCAAAACCCACUUUUGUUGUCAGGGCGUUUCGCCCGACAUUUUCAAAAGUGUUCUUCAUAUAUAUAAUUAAUAAAUUCCAGAUCUAAGGGCUCCAUGGGCAGAAGGAUAAGGAAGGUCAGAAAAGCUAGCAGCGGGAAAGCGGUAAGGGAAGGCAAUCGGUAAUAGUCAGCUGGCGGUUCGGUUCGGUGGAAGAAGCUGUAAGAGCUGUCAGCGGUAAUAGGCACUUCAAUGAAGCAGCAGCAGUAGAAUCAUCAUUAGUGGAUACAGCACCAACAACAGCAGCAGAUCCAGAGGCAGUUCCAGUCCUUGUCGCAGCGCAGUAGUUAGUAGGUGAUCCAACACCAGAGAGAAAAGACGCAGCAGAUUCAUAUACUGACCUUAGUGAUAUAGAUCCAUACCUAGGUACAGAACGAGACCCAUUAGUGAGGUCCAUAUCGGUAAUAGAAAGACCUGCCACAAAAGCAUUCCGAUGGAGCAGAAGUAGACCCUUCCCCCGCCAUAAUAGCACCACCUAGCUUCGCUGCAUCGGGAUAGUAGUAGCACAUAUCUUUAUAUAGUGAUCGUGAUAGGGAUAAUGAUACCAAUGAUAGAGUUGACCUAGCCUAGCGACAUCCAUCCCUUGUCUCCUACUGGUUUGUCUCUGAAAAUGGUUCUAAAUAAUGGUAUACUCCGGCUAGCGAAGAGGACAACCGAACCAACAUAUUAAGAAGAAGUUAAGGUCUCGGUUCCGUCUAUAUUCAUAGAAGGUGAUGUCGACGCUUUAGUUUUCAUUUUUUAAGAAAGGUUAAGAAGAAUAUCCUUGGCUAAAUAAAAGAAAGAAAGCCGAGCACGACUCCUAUCACUUUCUUAUUAGUCAGUCACUUCAGGCUUGGGUCACAAGCGCUAGCACAUCGGGCUUCUUAGCCUAAAAAAUAAGUGCUUUCCACCUCUUUCUUGCUGCAGUUGCAGGUCGAAGAUGAACCUUGCUGUUUAGUUUCUGCGUGACAAAUACGCUGGAUUGUGUUACGCGAAAAUGACGCCAUGCCCGGUUUAAAGAUAUAACUAUUGCUGCUUACUCCAAUCCUAAACAAGCAUCAAAACGCACAUAGGCUAGCGUGAGCGGUAAGGAGAGAAAGAAAGCAGCAAGCCAGCUAGCCCCCCGACAACUAGAGCGUAAGCAGACGCAGCUGAAAAAACUAGACGUCAUAGGCUAGCUCAAAACGUCGAGGUGAUAGCUUGAGGUCCUAAUCUGACUGAGUUGUAUUUAGGAUAAGCGGGAAGGCUCAAUAGAACGGGAUCCUCACGUCUACAAUGGAGCUUCGCCUUGACUACAAAGUUUAGGGUGCUUCACUCACGCGGCUUUGCUAGAUGGAUGCAGAAUAGUUGGAUGGAGUCUCGCUCAGUCAAUUAGUCUAGCCUCCCUUCCGAGUCAGAUUUUUUCCGGAAUUUUUUCUUGUCAAGUGAAAAUGGAGAUUCAAAAAUGGUUGGAACUAUUUGAACACGACGUUUUUUGGGGAGUCGGCAUCCAUUAUGUGGAAGUUGGGUCACAUCGUGGAUGUACAUAAUUGGAGAUUGAUCUCCUACUCCUUCACCUCGAAAACCUUCUCUCCAGCUCAAGAUCACUUUAUUCUUUUUCCUGAAAUAAGUAGAUCCUUUCACUUUCAUGACAACUGACUUCAAACCCAUCUUUCUGGCGGAUCGCCCGACAUGUUCCGCAGUUGCUUCAGCAGCAUACCGAGAAAGACGAGACCGCCCUUUUCUUUCCUCCAAACAACCUGCGGAGGCCCCAGUCUUUUUAUUCCCCCUAGCAUCUGUCACGGUCACAAAGGUCUUAUUUUUGAUCAGUAAGACAUGGACAAAAUCUCUGUUCUUUUUCCGUGAACAUUGCUCAUCUUCCUCCGAGAUGCUCUGUACGAAGUUCAUGGAUUUGAAACUGCCCGCACCCGCAAGCCCAAGCCGAUCAGUCUCGGCCGUUGUUUUUUCCUGGGGCAUCCUAUGUGAAAAGUGUUGAGAAAGCAUUUUGUUUUUUUAUUCUUUGUCUGCUCCCCCAAAAAAAAGAGAGACUUGUCGGAAAUCGCCGGUUGGGUUGGUCCGACCAAGAAAGACAUGGGAUGCACUUUUUCGUUUCGAACCAUACCUCGAGGAGAGGUGGAAGUGAAAGACUGGCUACCUAUAAAGAUCCCUCACUGCACACUUUCUAUAGUUCUGUAUCCAGGAUCGGCUGCAUGCUCGAGUUAUGAAUCGGGUAUAGAACCCAGGAUGCUUGGUUACAAUUCCGAAUCCGCUAAACCAUGUUUCUUUUCUUUUUUUUUGUCGAAACUAUCCAUGGGCAAUGAGUUUCGAUGUAUUGGGUGUAUCCGUUCUUUAUUUAAAGAAUUAUUUUCGUGCUUACGUCAUUUGCUUUCGCGUCCUUUUCUCAUUCAUUUUCUUUUAUCCCGGAACACUAACGAAAUCGCGGUUUCCUGAACUGAAGAAUGUGAACCUUAUAUAAUCAAUAGAAUAGAACAGCAUCUUUGGUGAAAGAAAGAGUGGUUAGGUCAGAAGCAUCUAGCACGCACUUCAAUCCAAACAAGCAAUAAGCAAGAUGAAUCUCUUUUUCUUUCUAUUCUAUAAUAAAUGAAAUUAUGUAAUCAGGGCUAAAGCACAUACAUAUGGAGAGGUGCAAAGGACAGAUGUGCCAGUUAGAUGAUAAUAAUUACCAGGGUCUGCCAGCGGUAUUUGAUUGAAAUAGUGCGGUACGAAUUACUUUCAUCAUUUAUAUACCCCAUCUUAAUAUAAUAAGAAGAAGACGUUAUAGUCACUUCUAACUUCAUCCAAUCAACUGCCUUGAAUGCAAUGCCUCUCCUAUUUUGAAAACGAACAAAAGAAAGAAAAAACAGGAAAGGCCAUUGGAAGGAUGCGAGCGGGAAGAUCCAUCUCAGACAGAGCAGACGGGGAAAGAGAUAUUAAAUGAAAGGUGUGCCAGCAGAUAUGUAUUUAUAACAGAAAAACCAAAAGCGGUGAGCUGACCUACCAACGUGUGAAUGUUUUAUUCAUGAAUUAUUUACUGUAGUCACAUCCUCAUAAAUAGUUCUAUCCGAUAGGCGUCUUGCAGUCUCUUAGGUGAUAGCGGAGCUCUUCCGUGGGGAAGCACCUAACCAUAUAGAAUAUUCGCACCUUAGCUAUUCUAUGUGAUCUUCCUUGAGCCCCCUAUCGCCUGCUAUCGCCGGCCUGGAAUGAAGGGAGGGCUUCCACUAUCCUACCAGAAAUGCUUGACCAAACUCCAAUACCAAGAAUUGAUCCUGCUGAAGCUUCCUUCGAUUUCUUUUUUUUUUGCCUUAAAAAUCUAGUUUCUUGGCAUAAGGACUACUUAUACUUAUAUGGAAUGGAAGUGGAAUUCCAUCCUAAGAAAAGAUUUUCGCAAUCCCUGGAAGGCCAGAGGUCUUCUUUCUUCUGUCGUCCUGCUAGCUCAAAUCUCGUACUAUAUACUUUUGACUAUACCUGAAAUCACUAUCGAAAAAGGGCUCUCUUUUUAGGCUAGUUAGGGUAGGGAGUGAAUUCUACUUUAGACAAGUCUAGCAAAGCAGCUCAUCUGGUAAGACGGUCAUCCGUCCAACCUCUAUCAAUCGGUCUUUCCUCUUUCAAUCGCUUGAAUCGGUCCAACCGGGAAUCGUCGAAUCUCUAACGAUCGCAUCUGUCUGACUGAUGGGAGAGAUCGGCUCUAUGGCCGCUUUUCCUUAAACUUCAGCCCUCUUUAAGCUCUCUUCUAGGGAAUUUGCUUGGUCUAGUAACAAGUCUCGAUAAGCUGUCGCAAUCAGGCAAUUCGUUAAAAGAGAUAUCUGAUCGAUCUGUCUUUCAAUACUUCCUAUCUUCCUGCUUGGGAAUCAGUAUCUGUUGCAAUCGCUCAUUUGUUCUGUUCUGUCGCAACUCUCGCAUCUGGAAUACGGGAAAGUCUUCCCAUAUUAACCUUUUUGUAAAUUUCUCUUCUAUUGUUAGCAUUGGCUAUCGGUCAAUUCCGAUUCCUUUCCUUAUAAGUAUUUUGUCUCCUUCAUUGAUUACUAUUCUAGAGUGACUUGGAUCUAUCUUAUGAAAUCGUCGAAUGAAGUUCCUUUGAUUUUCCGGUUAUUUCAUAAGAUGAUCAAAAUUCAGUGUGGUAUAAAUUUGAAGAUUUUGAGAUCCGACAAUGGGGGAGAAUAAUAGUUCUCCAAGAACUUUCAAGCUUAUCUGCAGGAACAAAGGAUUGACUCUCAAACUACCUGUCCAUAUACCCCCAAAAAAGAAUGGAGUAGCUGAGCGAAAAAAUCGGCAUCUUUUGGAGGUUACCCGUGCUCUUCUCACCGAGAUGAAGGUACCUAAUACUGGUAAGAAAGAAGCUGUCUUAACUGCAUGUUAUUUGAUUAAUCGUAUGCCCGUUCUAAGUGGUAAAUCUCCUAUUUAAGUGUUGAAACCUGACUCACCCCUGUCUUUCCUAUUUCUCCUCGUGUUUUUGGUUGUGUUUGCUUUGUUCAUGACUUGAGUCCUCUCAGAAACAAACUUGAUUAUAAGUCUUUCAAAUGUGUCUUUGUUGGAUAUUCUAGCGGGCCACCCCAAAACAAAUAAAAGAUUUGUGUCCAUGGAUGUCACUUUCUUUUAAAAUCUUUCUUAUUUCUUUUCUCUGAAAAUGGUAGUACUCUUUCGGAUCCCUACUCUCCUCAGGGGGAGUAUGGAGGUCUGGAGGAGAGUAGUGUUCUUACUGUCGUCAGUUAAAAUAUUCCCAUGUCUAAAGUGGAAAAUUAUAUGGAUUCGAAAGAGGGGGAGUCUCAAAGUAGUGAGCAGCUUGGUCAGCAAACCACGGAAUUAAAGACGUAUGUGAGGAAAAGGAAGAAGGUCAAUUUGUCGAAUCAACGAUCCAUCACCAAGACUCCUCCUUGGAUCCAGGUACUUCCUCUCUUCCUCCUUCUGUUGUUUAUGAUCUGUAUUUACCUAUUGCCUUGAGGAAAGAAAAGAGAUAUUGUACUUCUCACCCUAUUAAUCACUUUGUGUCCUAUCAAGCUUCCUUCCUUUAAAGCUUUCCUUUCAGCGAUUUCUUCCACCAAGAUACCUGGAAGAAGCCCUCAAUCAUCCUCAGUGGAAGAAAGCUAUGAUAGAAUAAAUGGAGGCUCUAAAGAAGAACGACACUUGGGAACUGGUCACGUUACCAAGAGGCAAACGUACGGUUGGCUGCAGGUGGGUAUAUACCCUGAAACACAAAGCUGAUGGCUCUAUCGAGAGGGCUCGUAUUGUGGCGAAAGGUUUCACACAAACCUAUGGCAUCGAUUAUCUCGAGACCUUUGCUCCUGUGGCCAAACUAAACUCAAUUCCAUACAAGUCAUUCUGUCAGUUGCAGCUAACAGAUCUUGGCCACUGCAUCAGCUCGAUGUCAAAAAGGCCUUUCUUCAUGGAGACCUCCACGAAUAGGUUUAUAUGAGUCCUCCACCAGGUUUUCGAGCUCAGGGGGAGGAAGGGAAAGUUUGCAGGUGAAAAAAAAAGGCGAUAUAUGGUCUCAAGCAGUCUCCUCGGGCUUGGUUCGAGAUAUGAAGUUUGGUUAUGACGAAGAUAGAUGGGUUUCCAGAGAAGCAAUGCUGAUCAUUCCGUGUUCAUAAAAAGGAGAGAGACAAGAGGAAACUACUGUUCUCCUAGUGUACUCAGUUUAGAACUCUAAAUUCACAAGUCAAAUAAUGAUAUUAGUCAGAAAGGCAGCUAGUAAGCAAGUCGAGUAAGACAGCUAUUAUUAAGUCGAGCGAGCUUUCGCUAAUACUAAUCAAAGACGAAAAGCUAAGGUAAGAAUUUGCAUAGAGAUGAUAGGCGCUUAUUGUGGAGCUCGAUAGUCUCCCUUAAAACCGCUACCGAUUCUUGAACAGAAAGCGGUAUGCUUGCGAAGACCAUUUCUGGUCUAUCCGUGUUAAUGAAAUCCAUCCCGUGAAACAAAGGAUAGUUCAUUCUUGGGGUGAAUAAAUAGAGACUACUGCUACGGGAUAGACCAAAACUUCGGGAUCAACCUCAAUGAAUUAUGGCGUAACGGGCUUGGUAUAGAUCCGUAGCCCGCUCUGGGUCUUUAACCGAAACUGGGACUAGGCAUGGAAAAGCUCGAUCAAUGUCCUCCUCUCCCGAGGUUAGAAAUGUGGAGGUACCUUUCCCGUCACCUGUUAGCUCUGUCCGCCACGGGUUAGCGACAUAAAGUGCGAAUAAAGGUUCAUCGGGACAUUUUUCUUCGACAACUGAACUAUCAUCACCGUUCUUAAGUCUAGACUUUUUUUGGGGGGGGUCAUAUUCAAAAUCUCGCAAAGCUUCAUUCUACAAGCAUUCCUAUUUUAAAAGGUAUAUGGAUUCCGGAUUGAAAAUAUGGAUAUAUUUCAUUCUCCUUUUGGAGACCGACCCAUCUUUCUCUCUAGAGGGGCCCAAAAGAUACAAAUACGCUCCUGAGGAGUCUUCCUGGGAAAUUGACUCCUUCCUUUCCAACCGGAUUCAUGAGUGAAGGAAAAGAUCAGAUGGAAAGGACUCUCCUUCCUUCUCUCUCAUCUGCUCGGCUACGGAUAUCUGCUCUACAGCGAGUGAUGAAGCUUCGAGUACCCAAUCCAUCUAUAAGGUUCCGGGAAAGAGGGAUAGACUAAAUGUGAGAUGGAGCAAGGUUUGGAACAAUCUCGGCGGGCUUGCCAAUCCGUCGAGAUUAGUCAACUUUCCUUUUAUGUUCGACCAGGAAGGCUACUCCUCAUCCCUACUUUCAGCGGCGAUCAGUCUAGUCUAGUAGGCUCUCUCGCCAGUGAGUUCGGCUUUUCAUUUCGAAUAAAAGGAAAGAGCUUAUAGUUUUUCAUACCGAAAAAGAGGCGGUAGAAGGCCUAAAGUCCUUCUCAUUUCAAUCUCAAUCAAGAAGGGCUUAUUCUAUGCAAUUGAUAGGCUCUUCUCUCUUUGACCCUUCCCUUGGUUGUUAUGAUCUCGUUGAGUGAGAUAGAAGCUCAAAUCAAUUUCUUAGGGAGCAGUGGUUCUUCGUACAGAUUUGGCCUAAGAGCGGUGAUUACGGGAGAAUGUUUUUUGGUUCAAAACAAGAAAAUUCAUCACAGGAGAAAAAAGACAGUGUAGACGAUAGAUUCAUCGGAUAAAGAGUAUAAACGGAAACGGAGACAUUAGACGCCAGCUUAGACCUUGGUAAGCGUUUCUUCUUCGAAACCUCAGCAGAUAUGGUUUUAUAGGACGAUUUGUCCAAAACAGACCUUGCUCGCAAUGACCUAUGUUUCUUUAGUAAGAAAGUCCGGUUUAAGCCAAGCCAUCUCAUACAUAAAGUCUGACUAUUAGUCUUGCUGUUCUUUCAAAUCCAUUAGCGGUGCCGCCGUGCUUUUGAUUUUCAUGCCUUCCAAGCAGUCGAAUUGAAUUGGUCGCAUCUGCCUUCCCGCUUAGUGAAUCUCUAAGGGGCGUAAUUAAUCCAAUCUCUCAAUCGGUUGGUCAAAUGCAUUGACAUUGGCGCAUUCGAUUUCUUCUUUUCCAAAAGUGGGUUCAAAUCCCCUUGCCUUGCUGCUGAGUAUGCCCUAGUUUUUUUCUUCUCGAGGAGUGGCUAGCUCAUUUCUUUAUCCACCAUUGAAUUGGAAGUUGCGGGAUCACCCAUGAUGGCUGUUUCAGUUCUUGAUUCAGUUGAACUGCCCGGCCGAGCUCUUCAAUUGCUUCAAGCGCGUUUCGUUCUUCUUGAAUCUCUCGGAAAGAGGAAGAGGCCCCUGCGCGAGCUGCAAUCAAACUAAAGCGCGUUAGCUAGGCCGUUUUCAAUAAGGGGCGCGUUAGCGCUUUACUAAUAGAAUAUAUAGGGCUUUUCUCGCUUGUUUAGUAAAGUCGACGUUUUUGCUUCGUUCCACUUCCUUAACGGACCUACGGACUAGCUAAGGUUUACUUACAUAGUUGUUCUUUCUUUUCGCAAUUUCAAGUUAAAGCUAGCGUUUUUCAGCUUGCUGUUUGCUUUGGUCGAGUAGCUUUCUUCCUUCGCUUUUGAAUGAAAUCAGCAGUAAGAGUAAGUAAGUGUUUGUUCUCUUUCUUUCCUCUGCUUAUUCCGCCCAACGAAUCGGCUUUCCGCUCGACCAAAUAGUCAAAUGCCCGGUUAGGAUAUGUGGAGAAGAAGCUCCUAGCAUAUUUCAGGAUGACUUUCGUUUCAUAUUCCAGUCUUGCAAUAGGAUUGAAAGGCUAUGAAUGUCGAAUGGUCCCAUAGGCGCUUUCGCCCGCCCCUGAAUAAGCAGUAAGGCGUGGGCGCGUUGGAACGAUCCCGCUUUGAAAGCUCAACCUCGGGAGAAUCAGUUUCGCCGGUCCAGUGACUUGGCAUACAAAGGCGAGUAGGGUUCUCCUCCAUGUGGUGCACUCCCGCUUCUUCAUACCCGGAAUAAGUUUGAGCUGCUCCAAGGGACAGCUUUUUGCUGCCGGAUGAAGGUCUUACGUCGGCUAAGAAGACGGAAAAUUCCAUCUCUUUUGCGGUCCUGGAGAUCGGGGAGAUAAGAGUUCGCCCACCCUAUUUUGAGUGGGUGCUCGCAAGGUCAAAGUCAAAAAUUCUAUUCUUUCAUUAAUACAGGGGUAGUGGGGAAUAAAUAGUUUAAGUGAUUCACACCUCGAAGUAGAGUGUGUAAAUACCGGAUGCGUAGGUUGAAUCAUUCGCUAAACAACUAUUUUGUUGGGCGAUCAACCAGGUGCUCCUACCCAACCGGACUAAUGAAUGCCAACUGGAAGAACUCACUUUCCUAUCGUUCAGUAGGAGAUCCCUUCUUGUGGCUUGAAAAUGAUUCCCUGUUGCUAAUGGGGAGAGAUCUUUCAUUAGGGUUUGAUGCUCCUCAAUGGAGAUCCCCAGAAUAAUAGCUUGCUUGUAGAACCCUUUGUUUGGUACUUUAAUGGGGGUAUUCUUGUACAGCUUGGCCCUUUCCCUGGCGCACUGCCAUCGAAUCUACUAGUCCUCCUCAAACCCAAUGGGAUAGAAUUCCUUGCGAAUUAGAGUUUGAAAUUUCUUCCGUGACAACCCAGAAAUGUCAUGGUUGCUCAUAUAUGCAUUCCAUCAAGUUAGUGCAUAAUUUGACGAUUUCGAUUUUCUUUCUCCGAUCCAGUUCGUUCUGUCUUCUUUCCGACGGAUCAGCCCUAUUAGAGAAGGGCUUCCGAUUCUGUAUGACAACAGAACGAGCAUUCGCUGGACGGCCAAACAUUGAAUGAAAUGUUGGCAUGGGGUUUCGGCAAUUUCAAUUCCAUUUUCAGUCUUUUCAAAUGGAAAUUGAAAUUGUAUACGCCGGUUGAAGCACACGUUGGAGCAUCCAAACGAACCAGCAGGGGCUGCUGUGGCAGAGACAGCAGCAAAAGCACUAGUCUCCGUUGAUCACCUACCAGCAGGGAAAGCAGCAUAGGUGGCAGGAACUAACUAGGGUUUAGGUACCAAUUCGAAGAGCAUUCGUUUACCGGGGUCGAGAGCAGCCAGCCCUAGAGGUACCACACUAACAGCGGCAUCCCGACCUGAUACGGAUCCCUACCUCUCUAUCCACAACCGACCCUUCGAAAGCUUAUUUAUUUACUUGAGGCAUAGGCAUGGGCACAGGUGGAGACACAAGCAAAGGCACCAAUAAAUAGCUACAUGGGUCGCAUAGAAGCUUUAAGAGAUAGGGGGGCAUCCACCGAAGAUGGCAGCGCAACGGAAGCACGAACGAGGUAGCUUACGCUUUUUUUUUCAUCCUCACUACCUGGUUUAUAGUCGAAUCCGGAGAAUAUGAACUCAAAACAUUCUGAUUUUUGGUACGUUGCUAUGAGCAGCUCUGGUGCUCGAUCUUGGGUCUUAGGUGUGGGUCGGAUCAUGAUAAAGAAGGUUCGGUGGUUGUAUAAUUCCCAAGCGGAAAGUAGUCUACUUGCAAAGUAGAUGGGGUGAUCAAGCGGCCCUUCCUGCGCCAACAUACAUCCAAUGGCAUAGAGUGAUGCGUCAGUAUGAACAUGAACUCCUUAUUCCAAUCCGGAAACCGAAGGAUUGGGGCUGACAGCAAACACUCAUCUGCAUGCUUAAAGGCUUAAUCCUGUUUCGGUCCCCAACCGUUAUACCUUUCUUCUGCAAUGAUUCCAUUCCGGGGUUCCGCGCUUCGCAAAGUGUUUAAUGAUGCGUCUGUAAUAGCCUAUGUGUUCCAAAAAAGAACGCGCUACGCCCGGCCCCCUUUUUCAGUAGAUGAGAUUAGGAUGAAAGGGCUUGCUUUCAUUAACAUUCAGUGAAGGUGCAUAGCUUCUUUGAAUGUCCCGCUGAUUGACUACUACAUCUAGGGACGGGACUGAUCCCGAAAGAGAGGUCUUUCUUUCUGGUUAUGAAAUCGCUUAGGUUGAAAAGCAAGUCGAUGAUGCCAUAAGUCAAACGGGCGGGUGAGGCGAGAGUCCUUCACUGCACUCACUGGAGAGAAGGGAUCAUCUCCAAUCUAGUUGUAAGGUCUUGUCCCCUUAUUAGUAGCCGAAGUGUAUGCCGGGUCAUUUUUGAUAAAUUGAUAUGUGCAUCGGAAUACUUUAACACUUUAAAUAAGCGUUAGUCGACCUCCGGAGGACAACAAUUUGCUUUUCCAACUGUCGAUUCUCUUUUUCAUUUUCUCCAGUAGAGGAAGGCAAUGCUCUCUCUUUAUUCUCUUGGGGGACAAGGGAAGAUCCAGGUACUUUAUAGGAAAACUACCUUUUUUUAUUCCUCCUCAAUGAUCUGGAAUUUCUGCGAGGAGCUCUGUUCGAGAAGAAGCACUGGCUCUUAUCGAAAUUGACCUUUUGGCCAUUACAAUCAGCUUCUUACUUCUUUCCAGAAAGAUUUUCAGUUUCUUAAGAUUCCGUUUAUGGCCAUUAUAUAAUAAUAUCAAAAUAGUUCGCAAAGAGAAGGUGGGAGAGUGCUGGGCACGAUCUCAAACCAUGGUAAGGUGUUAUCAUUUUCAAUGAUACUAACUCCUGUAGGCCUCGGCUUAGCACUUCUUCAGCUAAAAUCAACAGGCUAGGUUUGGAACCCUUGUCGCAGCCCUCGAGAAGCUGGAAAGUACUCAUGUGGCACACCAUCCACAAGCACUCCAAAGUUUUCAUUACAUAAACAUCCAUGUAUCAAAUUCCGCCAUUUAUCACAAAAGCCGAAAAUCACACACACGCAUUACCCCCAACAAGCCCAUUCGAUCCAAAAAGAUGCUUUUGCCAUAUCCUGAGUUUCUUUUGACCCCCCCUCCCUCCUACUAUUAAGCUUUUUGGUUGAAAUCCUUUAUCACUUAAAGCCACCUCGUGAGCCAAGGAGAUCUUCUCUACAAUAGUUAGUCCUUUAACAAAAGCCCCUUGUUCCUUAAAAAUGAUUCUAGGGAGAAUCCAACUCAUUCUUCGAGCUAGAGAUCAUUUUAUAGAAAUAGUGACAAAGCUCUCCUUCAAAUAUCUCAUAAAUAAAGGUAGGUCGGAAUUGGUGAAAAUGUGAAGGACUUUCGACUUUCGGAAUAAGGGCAAUCAAUGAAAUUUGAAUUCAAUAGGGCUUAACAGCGCCUUCAGCAAAGAAAUUGUGAACCGCCCUGACCAGGUCGUCUUCAAUAAUCUUCCAACAGUGAGAGUCAAAACUGGGAAUCCAUCAAUUUAAAGGAUAGGGGAGGCACUCUAACCAGGCUCUAUUUUCACCGCAUCAUGGAUUUCCUCUCGUUAUGGCGUGGAAACCUGGGAGAUAUUUUCAGCAUCAGUGAUCAUCGUGGGAAUACAUCUAAGUAGAUUAGGCUUCAGGCGCCACCCCCCACUCGGAAACCAUGAAAAGCAGAGCCCUUGAAAGUGCUCAGCAGCUUUGGCCCCCACCUGAAACACAUCACUAAGGAUGGAGCCAUCAUCUUUAACAACUUCUUUUGAGUUCUUUCUGGAUCUUCUAGCUAAAGUGGAGAGAUGAAAAAAUCUGAUCUCUUUCUAUCGCCCUCCUUUCCUUUAGCCAUUUGAUACGGGAUUUCUUUUUCCAUCUAAUUUCUGAAUGUCUAAGGCAUACAUCAUAAAGAUUUUUUGCCUCUUUUUCUUCCUGGGCUAACUCCGCAGUCCAUCCCACCCUUUCCAAGGAUUUCUGAAUGUCGCAGACCUGAAAUUCCGCUUCCUUGAUCUUUGAAAAAAUCGAUCCCACAACAUAUUUAUUCCAAAGUUGGAGGUCCCCCUUAAGUCGUUUCAAUUUAGAAAAGAAACGGUAUAACGGGGAUCCCCAGGCCGGUUGUUUCCAAGAGGUAGACACCACCUCCAAAAAAGAGUAGUAUGAAAGCCAAAAUCUCUCUUUUUUAAACGGCCGGAAGGCGGCGCUUUUAAGGCCAAUUUUUAUCAAGAGUGGGCAAUGAUCUGAUUUGAGUCAGGGGAGGUGCUCCACUAGUAUAUUAGGAAAGAUGGACAACCAUUUGCUGUUUGCGAAAACUCUAUCUAGUCUUAACCAGAUAUAAAGAGUCCUCUUACGAUUAUUACACCACGGGAACCUACUUUUAACAAAUCCCACAUCCAUUAAGCCACAAUCGUUCACAGCUUAGCUUCAUUAAAGUCCCUCUCCGCUAUGCUAUGCAGGAGUAGCCCUCCCAGUUUCUCUUCCGGUGACAAAACAGCAUUAAAAUCUCUUUUAAGAAGCUUUUUGGGGGAAGGGCGGGAAGAGCAAUUAGAGUCAUUUUUCUAAAUUCAUCCCACAGGUCUCGCCUAUCAAUAGUUUAACAGCUUGCGUGAACAAAAAGGAGGCGUACCUGAGUAUUUUAAGAUUUGAUCUUUGCGUUGGUAGAAAUGAAUUGGGCAUUGCCUUCAAUCAUGGACAGGUCAAGGAUAUCUUCUCUCCAAAAGACCAAGAUAUUGGCAGGGGAUUCAUCCGAGAUGUUCGACAUUCAUCCAUACGCAAUCUCCGCUUCAAUUUUGAUACAUAGUUGGCCCUUCUAACCAUUGGUUCCAGGAUGACAACCAAAAACUAAAGCCCGGUCCGAGCAAGAUCGUCGAGACGUCUACGCGUGGAAAAAACCUUGCAUUCCAAACAAUUGCAAUUGUGGAAAUUUUUGAAAUAGAGUGGAGUGGGGCUUAGCCCCAAGUUUGGAUUGUGCCCUAGUAGUCGCGCUCUUACCCAGGUGCUGCCAUUUGUUUGCCUUGUUCGGAGGCUCCGGUUUCAAAUCUUUCUCAAAGAUAGAUGAUUGUGGGUCCUGAGAGGAGCUAUUUGAUUCUUAAUCAUGAUCAUUGGAAUGAAGAGGUUUUGAGGACCUUCCUUCUAAGGAGAAAGCGCGAACUUCUCUCUGUAUGGCAACCACUAAAAAAAGAUAGUUAACCAUCGGUUCAUUGGAUUCCGGGCCGGAUGGAGCCAGUGCAUAAUCCGUAGGGGGUCUUGAUUAUCAACAAAAUUUCUGCCAACUAGUUCCUCUUCCUGCUGUCCCCGUGAGGCAGAGCUACCGCCGGUAUUAGGGGCUGCGUUAACCGAAGGCGAUUUUCCAAUAGCUAAAUACUCCGGUUGUUGAAGAACAGGAGCUUGGGGAUUGUUAUCUGGUUCAAGCUCUUCGCCCCGAGGACCAUCUUCAAUGGUUUGCAUGUAAGCAGCAGCAACAUCUGAAUCACAAGGGCUAACUUCAGUGGUAGCAGCCCUGACUUACUUAAAAGCUUCUGGAUUGGUUGGGUCAUUAGCAUGAAAAAAAACCGGAGCAUUCUUUGCAGCUUCAGCCACACCAGCAUUCACCUCAGCAGGUGCAUUUUGAACAGUAGCCGCAUUAUCAGCAGCAGGCAUCGUUUCAGUGGUAGGUGCUGACCGUAUUGGUAGCAUUGGUUCUUGGAACAUAGGCCAUUCUCGGUGACGGGUUGACACCAGGUUCCUUAUUCGCCACUUAGCAUUCGUGACGGGCAUGACCUUGUCGUCUGCAAUGCGUGCAGAACUUAGGUAUUCAAAAAGAAACGAUUUAUUGCUAGUGAUCCAUACACAGUAGAUCCAAUCCAAACACGAUUUGGGAGGUUUUCCUUGAGAAGAUCGACUUCUACACAAACCCUAGCUACGUUGGGGCGUGAGACAAGCUUCGUAGGACCGGGUCAGGCCAAUUCCGAAAGUAGAGACGAUAGAAAACAGGCGAAACUCAAAGAAGAAGACAAUAGGCAGAUGGGGUCGCGAUACCCAAAUAGGCGCAUGCAUUGGAUCACCAUUGCGGAGACGGAAAUCAUGGCUCCAGCAGAAAACCCUAAACAUCAAUCCCUCAAUCAAAAACUUCUCUUUGUUUUUUGGUGCAUAUCUUCUUUGUUCGAGAGCUUGAUGAAGACGUGCCUUGGAUCUAACAGAAUGAUCGAAAGAUCUCCCUUGGUACGCCAGUUCUUCGGAGCGAUCUCCGUAGGAGCUGCCAACGGGACGCCCACCGCAGCGGUAGAAGACGAGGGGGAAGGCUUUUUCAACCCAUUCCUUCGUCGAAAUCCGUUCCCCAUCCAUUUAAGAGUAAUCACGAACAGCAAGAAAAGAAUCGCAGCAAGCCCUAUGUGUCACGAGCAGGCACCACGGGUUGUUGACUUGAAGGUGGGGGGGAAGGCUUUUUGGGAUGCAUUAUAGCACAGGCCGUGACUACGUUUUUCCGUUGCUUGUUGCCCCUUUAUUAGUAAGAAUGCUGUGAAAACACAAGCUUAACACGUCUGUCUUUAUCUUCUUCAUAUCUUCAUGUCUUUGUCGAGUUGAUUGGUUGACAUUAUUCGCUCCUUUCUGUCUUUUCAUUGUCCGCCUCUGCCCGAACAGAUAAGCACUAACCCACCCGAAAGAAGGUGAAACCCUUCUUUCCAACCAUGGCUAUCCUUGUACGAAUUGUUGACUCCUUUCUUCGUACAAAUUAGACCUAGCUCGUAGGCGAAAGAUACCUUCCUUUGCAAUACUCCUGUCGGCGGGAUCCGCCAGUGCCCCCGUGUGUAAGGCCCUUUCCUCAAAGAGGUCGAAUGGUUCCUGUCCUAUUCAUACUACUCUGUUGGCUUAUGUGGUAUGUCUAGCGGAUGGUGAAUCCUAUCCAGGAUCGGAAUUGGAUAUUUCCUCGGUUUCCGAGAAGUGUCUUAAUGGGUAUCCGACCGCCCUCUAGCAUGUAUGAUGGCUAUCGUGGCUUGCCGUUCUACCAGAUAUCAUGAUUCUCCCUAUUGUGCAGGUGCCUCUAUUGGUUUCUUCAAUUCCUCCUAUUCACGUUGCUGCCAUGGCCAACACAGGAUAUUCCUCUAACUCGUUGUUCCCACGCGCGUGUCAUCAGUGCAAAUUUCGAAAUCAUCUUACGCAUAACUCUUCACUCUGCUUGGGAAGUGUUCGGAGUAGCACGAAUAUCCUAUGAAGGGGUCGAUCGCUUCGCCAAUGGGACAGCUAACUACGAAAUGUCAGGAGUUAGGGGGGGCUAGCGACUCCGAGGGAAGGGGUGAAUAGACCACGAGCAGCACGCUUGCUUCGGAGGGGAUCCGCAAGGCUUUAGCCCAAGACUUAUUGGAAAGGUAAUGAACUAUGCGGCGGUGUUGACCCUGCAAUAGCUCCCUACCUAUACCGCUGCCGGUGCUUUAUCAGAUGCUGAGCCCACUAGUUCGAUGCAUCAAACCGCUACCUCUCCCACCCCUUCCUCCGAUGCCGGCUAUCGAUCUGGAGAAGAUGCAGGAAAUACAAUUUUGAGUGCUGUCAGCUCAUAUAGAUUUCCAUCCGCACAUGUACCUGGACUUUCUUCCAUAAAUGGCUCCGCGGAUCUCCAUCUGUACCUAGAUUCGCCACUGGCUUCUCACUCGUGGCAAGGCUUUUGAUCGUAAGUAGAAGCAGGGCCGGACGAGGCUAACUUCCCUCCCAAUCUCAAGGGAAGGGGCAGCCUCAAUAUCCAUUGAACUACACUCCUUCUCUCCAUCUGUUGUUCUCUGGCGUUAUCUGUUCAUGGGAAUCAGCCGGAGGGGAUUUCUCGAUCAAUGAUGAGGCUUUGGCACAGUUGUCACACAGAACACGAAGACACAAGCACAAAAAGAAGAGUUUUUAGCACACGUAACUUGAUUAGGAGAACCCUAAUUCCCAGGUUAACGGAGCAACACUGCCAUUCUUUAGUCUUAUCACACUAAACUGCUAUUCCUAUAAGAACGAGACGGAGCACGAGAACUCGAAUUACACUGCUGCGCGUCUUGCACUCUCUGUAAGGGAUGAAUUGUGACAGGGCGACCGCUGACCCUUGCCCGGGAGGAAUUCUUAAACCUGGCAAGCUAACUAAUUAGAAGAUUCAUUCUAUGGAACUCAACUCAAGAGAAGGUACGAUCACAGGGAUUGUGGUUGUUCACGCUACCAGAUGAGAAGAAGGAAUUCUACCGAACUUUUCACUCAGGCACGGGCGUCAAGGUCUUUGCUUGGCGUCUUGCCCACUUUCUUUUCUUUUUCGUGUGGAGCGCCUUUCCAUGCCACCAAUGGCAAAUGGUCUAGUCCCCAAGUUGGAAGAUUCGUCUACAAGUUCAAACCAAAGGUUCAGUUCAAAGCUAGGACUCAUCCCAAAGGCAAGGUCAAGGUUCAGUCCAACGCGAUGGGGUUAUUGUUCCGUGUCAGAAAGCUUCUUAUUCACUCACCCGAAUGCGAGAUCAUUUGCCAGAGCAGAUGGACGAAACCCGAACCAACGAACUCUACUUUCAAAGGAGUUCCCAUCCCUAGCUGACGAACAGCUCAACCUCUUCUUUCACAGAAAAACCUCUUGUUCCUCUCUCUUUGUUCAUUAGGUCAUGGUGUAACGGCUCGAAAUGCGCCAACGACACGACGGAAUUAUCUGCCGGUGCUUGAGAUUGAGUGAAAUGGGGUACCGGCUCGAAACUCGAAAUGCGAACACGAGUUUCCCCAUUAUCUGCCGCUCGUUUCCAUUAGAAGAAGGAAGGCCAAGGCGCUGCCAUUAAGAUGAAUGAGCAGGAACGGAACUUCCAUUCCACUGCACUGAACCUUCAACCAAGCUGGUCGGACUGAAGCAAAGGAUCAAUCACCUAGCCGGGCACUGCUUCUUGCUUAGUCCUAUCCCGAUUCUGGACCUAUGACAGCUCAACCAGGACUUAGAGAGGCGGCUAGCACUUUGAUUGAUCAGAAAGAACCUUCUUCAUGUGGAAGCAACAUCCGCUUAUAUUGCUCAUGCUUAGAUGGCUCAGCCGCCUGGGUAACUCCUAGCUCUUUCUCUCUAAAACUGAGGAGAAGCAACAAGUUUCAGGGGGCACUCCCGAACCCCGUUUUACACCCCGGACCCGAAGAACUGCUCUGCUGCUGGCCGAGUCACUCCUUGCUCUUUGCUUUUUUUGUGAUGGCAUGCUUCUUUAAUUCAAUCUUUCAUUUCAUUCAAUCGUCGAAAGAUUGAGCCUGUGUUCAGUUAUCGUGACUUACCUAAUAUAUCUCUUACGAUAUUUCAACUUAAGGGCCGGCCCCAGUAGGCUUUGACGGUUAUAGAUAGAAGUAGGAAACGUCAAUGAAAGCCUACAUUAGCGAGUAGCCAUAUUUAGGCGUAACUGACGGAACUACACUUGAUUUAGGAGCUAACGGAGGGUGUGAAACAGACUCCUGCCCCAUGGACAAAACUACACUAACGAGACGUAGGCUUAGUCAAGUCAAGCAAGAGAAAGAGCUUUAGCCGAGGGUUCCCUCGAUCAAACUCGAAAUUUCAUAAGAGAAGAAAUCUCGUAGCGUAGAAAAGAAAGGAGAAAUCGUUUUGAUUCGAGGCAGAUCCCUUUUUUGUUUGCCUUUACGAGUUGAGUAAACAAAUAAAAAAAAGUCUUCUCUUUGGAUAAAUCCUAUCUCUCGUCACAUAAGAGCGCACUAAAUAAAAAGGAGAAGCAGAAAGAGACGUCGUUUUUCGCGAUAAGCAAGAUAAGGUUCUUUCUAGUCUUCAUCUGAGCUCCGUCUUCUCGUAGAAUCCUCGCGCUUUAAGGGCAGGAGGUCGUAGAUCAAACUCCUUCUUUUUUAGUUCGACGCGUCUAUGGCUUUAGAGAAAUUCCUACUGUUGUUGCGGUUAGUGGCUUAGCGAUUCCAGCAGGAAAGUGACUUUUAGGCUCAGUUGACUUCUAGUCCCAUGCUCCAGGGCAAGCAGAUAGUAAGCGAGGCUUGAUCGGUAGGCAAGUGGCCGAAGAGGAAGGGAAUUCUGUAAGUGAAGAAAUUCUCUUCAUCACGAGAUCCGGUCUUCAAGCCAGCAACCAGAGCAGGAGUCAUCUUCUUAUCAGAGCGCAGACUAGCCACGGAGCUAGUCAAAAAAAAAGGGAUCAGAGUCAAUUGCGGUCGCCCUCAGUCAAGAUCAUGUACCCAUCUUCCUAUACUAAUCCAUACAUCCCUUCUCAGUCUAUGGACAGCUAUCUCUCUAGCCCAGUUGCGGAACCGAGAUCGAGAUCCAGGAGGACGACGUCGAAUUCUUCUUCCAUUUUGAGCUCAUCUACUACAGGAAUCUUCAACCUUCUCCUUCAAGGACUUCCUUUCCACCCGCAGGAGAAGGUACAAUCCAUCAAAUUGAUUCAUGAAGACAGUCAAUCUCAAUGUGCUGGUGAAGCAAAUCAUUCCCAUUUUCAGACAAAGAAGACGUGUAAAGAUCCCCUUUUCCAAAGGGACAAGCAAAAAAUCACCCUAGGCAGAAGACUCUUCAAUCUGCGGGUGGCAAACUCACUAAUGUCUCCUGCCUCUUGUGGACCUUCCUUCACUUAUUAUAUGAAAAUGGGGACUCUUUUUCUUUCUAUCCUGCGCUAAGGCUGGUUCGAAAUCCACUUCUUUCAUCAGGGAGAAUAAGACCACUUAGAUCAGGCUGAGCUACCUAAACUAGGGCCUCCAACGCCUAUAAGUUUGGAACUCUUUGAUUAUCUGAAAGUCAACUAUCUCCACCAUUCCGUUAUUCCCGUCUUCAAUCUCUUUCCAUCUCUGCCCUGCUCGGGGGCAUUUCUCUCCGGAGGGGACUCAAUUCAAGGAGGCAACUUUCGUGUAGACCAAAUCUCUAUCGCGAUUGAUUCCGUCCUAUUGUGGGCAGCUUCCUAACACCCCCUACUCCUAAGCAGUAAACUCAUCUUGCAUUUCUUUGCGAACAACAGAGGCAACCGAUUAUCCUCAAUUUUGUUCUAUCUACACUGAGUUACACUCAGCCUUCGAUCUUUCCACUCAUUCAUCAUAGUCAAAGUCGAAGCCACGGCAUGGGAGGCUCGGGAAAAGAAGGAGCUUUUUCGUCUUCACCGCCGACUUCCUUCGCUCAACUCGCUUACUUGAUAAAGAAAGUGACAACUGAACUAUAACUAUAUUAACCGACCUCACAGCCUAUAGUCAAAGAAGUUGAUUACCGUCUUCCUUUGUAGGGUCAAUCCCAGUAUAGCCGGUCUGACUCUCAGAGUUCGAUGUAGACGUGAACCCCUCACAAGGUUAGGUCUGAGGUAGGAAUCCCGAUUUUUUGUCCCUUAUUAAGUCGAAAGUCCUUCACAUUUUCACCAAUUCCGACAUCUACUUUUCUUUAUGGGAUGUCCCGGUCUGCCAAUGCAUAAAGAGAGAGCUUCCUCUUCGCAGAGAUUUCGCGGAAACCCAGCUAUAUCCGAUCUUGUAAGCGCCUAAUUCCAAGACAAUAAUGGACCUUCUUCAAUCCCAGUUUACGUAUCAGUCUAGUGUGACCAAGACAUGAACAAAGAACAAUUCCUCCCUUGCUUCGAGCACCCAAACCUCGAGCACGAGGGGGACUGAAAGCAGCAAAGAACGAGGAGAGAAUCAACUCGACUUAAAAGGAGAGGAGACGAAGGAGAAAGUCAGAUGGUAAAGGAUAGAGGACUGCAAAAUGGUGUGAUCCUGUGCUAAAAGAAGCUUUAUAGCUUUAUAGGGUGGACGGUUUUCGACUUUCUACCUAGAAUAAAUGAAUAGAAUUGUCUGAAAGAAUCGUAUAAUAGGAUAGAGUACGAGAAGGGGCUACUCUGUUAAUAUAAUAAUAUAGUAUAUCACAGCUAACGCACUCCUCUAUUUCCGAUACGCCUGUAAGCUCGCCUCAAUCUUAGACUUUGCCUUUAUAUGCUGAGCAGAAAAAAACUCUUUUACGGGCUAUUCUCCAAGCAGCACGACCUCGCUACCUCCCGAAGCUGCCUAGUCACACAAUGCAGUCGGAGCUAGAGACGAGGAUGGACCAGGCUUAUCCAGAAUCGACCAAGCUAAGCAAAGAGGAACCUCUUCCAAGCGGAGCAUCCACUAUGAGAAACAUGCUCCCUACAGCUACGAAGGAAGAAGAAGAUAGACAAUGCAGAGAAGCACCUAGACCAAGAGAGAGAAAGAAACUUUCCUCACUCAGAAAGGCCCAGACCACGCUGGGGAAAGAAUGGCACUUUACAACUAUUUCUUCUGCCUUAUAACGAGCUGGACUCGAACCAGCACUGCCAGAUUCGAAAAGAAUCAGGGUUCAACCUAAGAAUGAUCGUUAUUUGUUAACCCGGUUCGCCGAAAAGGCUACGUCCGGGGGGGCUUCUAUUAUAGUCCCCCCUUUUCCCCCUCCCCACCGUUCUACUUCUUGGAUAACUUUCACGGUCGCCUUGAAAAAGGCGCUCUCUUCCCCUUGCUCCUUUAUUUCGUUAAAUAGGGAAAGAAGUUGAUCCCAAUUCUUGCCAUCAUUAUUGGUGACAUGAUUGAUGGCCCAACGCCACCGAAGAGGGUGUGGUUGGUACGGAAAACUAUCCUUGGUCAUAUCUUGUAAUUGAUGGAUAAGGCUUUUCCGUAUUUCAGUACAGAGCGUCUCAUCUUUAUCUCUGUCCCUUUUCGGAAUUUUUCUUGCCUUAUUUUUUUUUCAUCUUUUUUUGGGGGGGUCCCAUCAGCACCACUACUUGAGCAGGCGACAGAAGAGGUUUUUCUCCGCUUCUGAUGCCGUUGUCCGGCAUCAGUUUCCAUGAAAAUAAUAAUUAUCAAGAUAAAGAUUGUACUACAAAUAAAAAGUAAUAUUUUAUCAUCGAAAUGAAAGGACUCGAAGGCAAAAUGGAUGGUGAUCAUAAGAAUAUAAUACAAUAUGUCCAUGUGUUUUUUUUUAUUCUUUUUCGGAAGCAAAGGGAAAAAAUAAUGCCUAAACUCUAAACUAAAGUCAAAGUCAAAGGGCUAAUCUGUUAUUUCUUCCAUGGCCCCUAGAAUGCCAAUAUUAGCACGGAUCGUACGGAAAUGUAACUCACUAUUCAAACAACUAUUCAGAGUUCCUAGAGCUCCUUGUAAGGCUUGUUGAAAAACUCGUUGUCGGACCUGAUUAAUCGCUCUUUGUUGUUCAAAAUGAAGGGUUUCAUUUUUGUAAUUUUCUAAUCGUUCCAAAGUGUCACAAGUGGCAUUAAUCAAAUUUUCUUUUUCUCGUUCUAUCUCAGAGUAUCCAUUCAUUCGAUACUCAUCUGCUUCUAUUUCCACUUUCCGUAAGCGAGUCCUGGCUCUUUCGAGCUGCUCAAUGGCCCCUCUACGUAAUUCUUCCGAAUUUCGAAUAGUACUCAAGAUCCUCUGUUUUCGAUUAUCUAAUAAAUCAUUUAAUGAAAGUAGAUUAUCUUACCAUUAAUUUCACAACUUCCAUAAUCUCUUCCCGAACCAAACAUGAAUCUUUCGAUUCAUUUGGCUCUCACGCUCAAUUAUUUAUUUUAUGUUAUGGGCAUUCCCAUAUCUUUUUUUUUAAUGUAAUGAGCCUACCCUCUCUUUUCUGUUUAUAUUCAAAAACAUCGAAACUGAUAUAAGACCAGAAUAUUAGAAGGACUCUUCCGACCAGACAAAAAUCUAUAAUUGUCAGCAAAGUUCUUUCUUUAUUUGUAUUUGUUCUUUAUUUCAUUUGAAAUUGAAAUUUACAAUUUAUUUCGAUAUUUUUUUUUUCCACUUUUUUUCUUCAAAUCAAAAAAUUCCUAUUUUUUUUUUACGUAGGUCGUCGAUUCGGCAUUGGAAAAAAAAAAAUAGCAAGAUGCCCAUUUUUUUAAUAAAUGGUUCAAAUAAUUUUAUCGAUAUGAGUGUUCUAUAUCAGAUAAAUUACCCACUAUUCAUUUUGAAACCAUUUCGGUACGUUAGUACCGGUAGAAAGAGUACCAUGUUUUGCCUGGACUUCAAACAGUUUAGCUUUAACCAUGUUAAUGGUCUCACAUUAUUGGUUGAUAGAGAAUCCAAUUUACCAAUAAGUCACGAAAUGCUAUGGUUCUUACAUAUGAUUUCUUAAUUUAUUCAGAAAUAAUUCGUUGAGAUCGUGCACUUUUUUUCCUAUUUAUCCUAUAAAAUUAAUAAAAUACCAUAAAUAAAGUGCAGUCGGAUGGAUCCAACCUAUUCUUGAAAUACACAACUCGCACACACUCCCUUUCCAAAAAAAAUUAAUACACCAAGCACUACACUUAGAUUUAUUGGAUUUGUUGCUAAAAUAUCGGUAUUAAACCCGAAACUCCCGGCGGAUGGCCAGUGACCCAAGGAAAGGAAAGAAUCGGUUACAUUUUUCAUAUGCUCUCCUCUUAUAGAUAGGACUAACAAAGAACAGAGUUCUUUUUGUAUCACUUCGUCGUCCCUUUUUUGAUCGAUUUCUUUUUAUUAUAUAAAUUUGAUUUCCAUUUUUUUUUUAAUGGGAGUAGAUUAAAUCUAGUAAUUGAAUUUGAUAGUUUUGAAAUUUCUUACUUGAAGUUUCCAAUCCAAUAAAAUACUUAUUAGGUUAAGUCUUGGGUCUCAUGUCAAUUGUGAAAUAUCUCGUUUGUUGAAACGAUUCCUAAAAAAAGUCAAAAAAAGGUUUCCAUUGUACUAAACUAAGUACGCGAAGGAAGAAAACGAGCGGAUCCAGUAAUUACUCAUCCUCAAAACAGUCCUUCCUUUCCUGGAGUAUUGUCUCAACAAAUAAAUAAUUGUAGGAGUAAAGCGUUGAUAUAAUUAGAAGAAGCAAACUGCAAUUCUGAGUUAAUAAAAUAAGAAAAAAGUAUAGCGAGUGAAAUUCAAAAAAUAAGAAAAAGGCUUGGCAGCGAAAUUUUCCAAGGAGCAACUUCCUUAUUAGGAGGUUCCCCUAUUGAUAUUUAAUCACUCUCAAACAGGGGUGGCGGGUGGGUACAGAAAGACUAAUCCAAUCUUUUAAUUCAACAAGAAGUACCACCAGUGUGACCAGUGUGAUAGAAUGCGAUUCCGAGUGAUAAGACGUAGGAUAGAAGGUAUAGGAUGGAACCGAAUCGAGCCUACGGGGAAGUUGCUCCUUAGAAUGCCAAACCAAAUUAGAAGCAAGCAAGGCUUUCUUUUCUUGUAGUCGGGGAAAGAAUCCCGGGGUUGAUGCUGAACCAAUUCUUCCAUUCCAGAGCCCAGAGGAAGAAGAAAUAACAUUCCAUGCUGCGAGGCAUCGCUGAUAACAUCGCCUGUUGUACAGUUGCUUUAGCCUAGGAGCCAACCUAGCUAAGGCAAUAUCCCAAAGUAGGGGCAGCUAACUGUGUAGAUAGAUGCUCUUUCCUCUUGCGGGAAAGCUAUUCCUUGAGUUGAGAUACUACUGCUUAGAUUAGAUGGUUAGCUUAGUAGAUGCUUUCUUGUAGCUCUACCAUUUAAAAAGCACUUCUCUUGCGUUCUUGAGUUAGUUUUUUGUCUUGUAGCUACUACCGAUAUGCUAUGCAAGUGGUAGAAGUGAUGCUAUUAAUUCAGUGCUAAGCACUCAGCGCGCUCAGGGCUUGGAAGACUCUUCGCUAGCGAGGCAGCUAUUACAGAGGAAGAAUAAGAGGGAGGGGUACCAAGGAGACAAAGACAACUAUGUAAGGCUUAGACCUUGCGUAUACUGCUUCUCCUUUGGGUAGCUUUCUCUUCAAGCACUCUUGCCUUAAGAAGGAAGGGUUAGCUAUGUUUCAAGCACUCCUUCUUGAAAGAAAACAACUCAAAAGAGUCUUCCCAUUCAAGCACUACUUGUAGCUACCUAUCCCGACAACUACUAAACGCUAUGAAAGUAAUAUAACUGCUCUAUAGCUAGAAAGCGUGCUCCUACUAUACUAUAUUAUAUAUAAAGCGGCUGGAAAAGCCAUACAACUGUUAUGCCUGCAAUGAACCUGCUAUGAAAACGAUACACCUGUUCUACUGACCUGUGGCUCUACCAUUUGUAGAGAAGAAAGAAGUCACAACACAAAGGAAAGCUUAAAAGAACAACUACUUGAUAAGGUGUUGCUAAGAGACAAUACAAAGUAAUAAAGCAGUUAUUCCAGUAACACACCAGCUAUGCUAUGAAAGUGGAUGUAUAGGCCUCCUUUCCCAUACCCAAUCCAAGAGAGCAUCCUAGUGGGCCUCUUUGUUGGCGGUGAAGCAAGCAAACGUCUCAUUUUGUUCAUUGCGAGGUUAAGAAAGGGAGCCAAUCCGCGGAGUCAUUUUUCUCUAUGAAUUGGAUAUUUCAUUUAGGUAAUGCCAAGGUUGAUUCACCGAACGGAAGGAAAAGGGUGUGGGUCAAUCCAAAGACCGGGACUUUUCCCUGACUGGCCUGAUUGGACCGCUCUGCCUACUGGGCCUGGCUACCCCGCAACUUACCGCUUCAAAGCCCUAUCCUUGGCUACCGCUUGCUUGCUCACUGCCCUUGCUGCUGCUAGCUUUCUGGCUACUGGACUACUUGCUUGCGGCUGAAACCGGCUUUCUUGGCUAUGCUACUUUGCUACCGGCAGGACUGCUGCUACGACUACAUGCGCAUCUAGUGCAGUGGCUUGGAAGCAAGCUACCUUGACCAUCUUCCGAAGUUCUAAAUAAUAUACUGAUCAAAGUUCCGUCACGGACUGCUCUACAUUCAGCCACGCCACAGUGACUUCCGAAGCGCUACGGACGGGACGAAAUCCGGCAGCUUAUUGCUGGCUCUGAAUAACCAGCCCAGCAAUAAGCUAAAUUCUUCCAUAACAUAACGGGGCGAGGUUGCGCGCGAGCCGAGUGACGUAGGUGCACAAGAGUACUUCGCGCCACAACCAUCUCUUUUUUAUAGGUUCUACGGACCGAUGCCUGCUGCUUCAUCUGGUAGAAAAGAUUCAUAGAUAUGCCUGUAAUUAGAAGGAAGAACCGCCAUAAAAAUCUUCCUCGUGUAUCGUCUGUAGCAGAACUAUGAACGGGAGCUAGCAAUCCGGACCGUAUUGAAAAGGUUCCUGAGACACAGCAUGGAAGAGUCAAAAUAUUAAGAAGCGAGAUCCAAGAAUGAAGAAGGGGUAGAAUUACUGAAUGAAUACGAGCUGUGGCUAAUACCCGAGGCAUAAAAGAGGCAUUUUCUACGGGAUCCCGAAACCACCAGCCACCCCGACCUAAUUCAUGAUGAGCCCACCAACUUCCUGGCGAGAUGCCUACGGUUAAAAACAACCGACAUGUCAAGAUCCAAAUUCGAAUUGGUUCCUGGUCCUGGUCAGAGACCACUGUGUUCGCGCCGGCGGUCCAACAAAGAGGCGAAGUCGUGGUCUCUUUCUUUCCAUUACGAACGACACGCUUCGCCUGCUCCCUCCCCGUGUCCAUUAGCGCUCCUGUCCAGAGCGAAGAGAAGGCGAAAAAGCGCCGCCGAAGCAGCAUGAGCAGGCUUCUAUUGCUACGCAACAAUAGAGCAGGUGCGCCGCCCACAAAAUGUUUGAAUGAUCGGGUAAAGAGCGAGCUUCUUAUAUGGGAUCCGACGCAUCCAGCAGAGCGAAGCAGCCUUCCAUUCUUUUCGGCGGCAUCCUUCCGCAUUGGCGGCGAGUGGAGUGCCACAAUCCCAUUCAUCAUUUUUGAUCUACAUAAGCCAAAGCCCAUAGCACUGGCGACGUCUCCGGCAUAAAUGCGAGGAGGAUGUAUAGCUGAUAGAGGAUCUUGUGGAACAGGAUUUGAUUCUGCAAGCGGUUCGGUACGAACGAAGAAAUUUCGAACAAAAGGAUCGGAACUCGCUGAUAGGAAAGGAGAGAAAAACAAAGCAAUGCCAAGAGCUCCGUCAAUCCGCUGUUCUUCGAUAGACGAAGCUCUCUCUUUUUCAUCUCGUGCCAGAUGCAACAAAAGAUUAGUCCUUUUUCCUUCUCGCGAACCACGGGAGCGCCCAGCGCCCAGAAGAGCAAAGCUCAUUUUCCUUCCAGGGUAAAGCGGCGCAUAAAAAAGGGCUGGCCCGUCAAAAGUCCGGUUCCUUCGCGAACGAAGUUCAGAAUCAACAAGGGUUCGUAGAACGAAGGGAGUGUACAACUGGGGCGCAGCCCCACUUUUUUGUUGGAGAGAUAGAAUGGAGUUCUUCACGAAGUUCGAGACAAAGGAAAAAAGAAAAGUUUCUCUAUAGCCUCUUCGUUUUGAGACAUUAUGGCUUUGGGGUCGACCCCGGUAACAAAGAAGGAAUCCAUAAAAAAAAGGGAUCCAACACCAUGAUAAAAUACUACCCUCAUGAUUAGACCAUGUCCCUGAAAUUUGAUAAAAGAAAGGUGCAUUAGCGGUUAAUACGUUGUAAUUGGAUAAGUUAUUAGGAAUAUGACGGAACGAAAGACCAAGGAAAGGAAUAAGAAUGCACCAAAAUGCAGGUGCUGCACCAAACGCUGGUGGUUCUUUCUUGUUGUAAGUGAAUGCAACGAAAAGACCCGGAAAUAACGAAUAAUGAGAGAAUUCAUUUAUAGACAUUUCGUGCUCAUUUCAAAAUUUCUGCUUUGUUAUUCCCAUCAUCCGGUAACCACAGGAUGAUCCCAAUCUCCUUUUAGUAAUAGAUCUUUUUGAUAUGUCUCAGUCUCCGCGGCAAGGAAGAGAAAAUGCAUCGAGUCCUUUAUCAAGAAAGUGGACGAGCAUGGUGGUCCCUAUAUCUCUGAGGGGUGUACCACUGUAGUAGUUUUCAAGUCAGCUUAAGAGAGAGCUCGGCUCAAAAGAAAAAGUCACUCUCUUUAUUCUUUGCUAGUGGAAUGGAAGCAAGACUCUUUCCUAUCCACUUUGCCGAGGAGAGAGAA
rnacentral:lncRNA from 1 species